GCGGCGUGCUUACCAUGCAAGUCGAACGAUGAACCACUUCGGUGGGGAUUAGUGGCGAACGGGUGAGUAACACGUGGGCAAUCUGCCCUGCACUCUGGGACAAGCCCUGGAAACGGGGUCUAAUACCGGAUACUGACCCUCGCAGGCAUCUGCGAGGUUCGAAAGCUCCGGCGGUGCAGAGAUGUAUAUAUUGCCUAUCAGCUUGUUGGUGAGGUAAUGGCUCACCAAGGCGACGUACGGGUAGCCGGCCUGAGAGGGGGCGACCGGACCAACAGSUGGGACUGAGACCACGGCCCCCCAGAUUCUCCUASGGGAGGCAASCAKUGGGARAAUAUUGCACCAAUUGGGCGAAAGCCUGAUGCAGCGACGCCGCKUGAGGGAUGACGGCCUYCGGGUUGUAAACCUCCUUUCAGGCAGGGAAGAAGCGAAAGUGACGGUACCUGCAGAAGAAGCGCCGGCUAACUACGUGCCAGCAGCCGCGGUAAUACGUAGGGCGCAAGCGUUGUCCGGAAUUAUUGGGCGUAAAGAGCUCGUAGGCGGCCUUGUCGCGUCGGUUGUGAAAGCCCGGGGCUUAACCCCGGGUCUGCAGUCGAUACCGGGCAGGCUAGAGUUCGGUAGGGGAGAUCGGAAUUCCUGGUGUAGCGGUGAAAUGCGCAGAUAUCAGGAGGAACACCGGUGGCGAAGGCGGAUCUCUGGGCCGAUACUGACGCUGAGGAGCGAAAGCGUGGGGAGCGAACAGGAUUAGAUACCCUGGUAGUCCACGCYGUAAACGGUGGGCACUAGGUGUGGGCAACAUUCCACGUUGUCCGUGCCGCAGCUAACGCAUUAAGUGCCCCGCCUGGGGAGUACGGCCGCAAGGCUAAAACUCAAAGGAAUUGACRGGGGCCCGCACAAGCGGCGGAGCAUGUGGCUUAAUUCGACGCAACGCGAAGAACCUUACCAAGGCUUGACAUACACCGGAAAGCAUCAGAGAUGGUGCCCCCCUUGUGGUCGGUGUACAGGUGGUGCAUGGCUGUCGUCAGCUCGUGUCGUGAGAUGUUGGGUUAAGUCCCGCAACGAGCGCAACCCUUGUCCCGUGUUGCCAGCAGGCCCUUGUGGUGCUGGGGACUCACGGGAGACCGCCGGGGUCAACUCGGAGGAAGGUGGGGGACGACGUUCAAGUCAUCAUGCCCCUUAUGUCUUGGGCUKCACACGUGCUACAAUGGCCCGGUWCAAUGAGCUGCGAUAUCCGCAAGGGUGGAAGCGAAUCUCUAAAAAAGCCGGUCUCAGUUCGGAUUGGGGUCUGCAACUCGACCCCAUGAAGUCGGAGUCGCUAGUAAUCGCAGAUCAGCAUUGCUGCGGUGAAUACGUUCCCGGGCCUUGUACACACCGCCCGUCACGUCACGAAAGUCGGUAACACCCGAAGCCGGUGGCCCAACCCCUUGUGGGAGGGAGCUGUCGAAGGUGG
rnacentral:rRNA from 1 species